GUCACUUUAGCUCAGCGGGUAGAGCGGCGGACUUUUGAGCUGAGGCUGAGGAGUUCGAGUCCCCUAAGUGGCU
rnacentral:tRNA from 1 species